AGUGAACGCUGGCGGCGUGCCUAAUACAUGCAAGUCGAACGGGGAAAGCUUUCGGGUGAGUACUAGUGGCGCACGGGUGAGUAACGCGUGGAUAAUCUGCCUUAGAGUGGGGGAUAACUAGUCGAAAGAUUAGCUAAUACCGCAUAAGACCACAAGAACUGCGGUUCAAGAGGUCAAAGGUUUUUCGCUCUAAGAUGAGUCCGCGUAAGAUUAGCUAGUUGGUGAGGUAACGGCUCACCAAGGCAACGAUCUUUAACUGGUCUGAGAGGAUGAUCAGUAACACUGGAACUGAGACACGGUCCAGACUCCUACGGGAGGCAGCAGUAGGGAAUAUUGCACAAUGGAGGAGACUCUGAUGCAGCGACGCCGCGUGAGUGAUGUAGGCCUUCGGGUCGUAAAGCUCUGUCGCAGGGGAAUAACACAAUGAAUGUACCCUGUAAGAAAGGAUCGGCUAACUUCGUGCCAGCCGCCGCUGUAAAAC
rnacentral:rRNA from 1 species